GUCGUUUUAUCAGGCGCGGUUAGCAAACCCGGUCGCUUUAAAUCGAUCGCGCGCCCCGAUUUUUCUCCGAAGCGCGGUUGGUCCGGGUUUUUAGGAGGUUGGUCUGAAAGAGGGAAUGGGGAUGGUCGGUGGUGUGUAAUUGGGAUAGGGGUGGGUGCGCAACAAAGGCCGCUGCCGCGGCGGCAAGAGAACGAGAGAAGAAGCGUGUGGCGGCAGGCGAGGCGCCGGCAAGGUAGAGGACGAGUGGACGGAGUGGAAUAGGGGAGGAGGAGGGUGAGAGAGAAGGAAAUACGCGAGGGCACGAGGAUCACGGAGGAAGCCCCAGGGCGUCGGUCUACGCCGGCGGAUCCCAAGCGACGCCGGCCUCUACCGAUGGUACCUCCAGCGGGGGAAGUCUAGAUCGCCGGGUCAGGAGAUGGUCCACGGCAUCAGUUCCUCCUGUCUCGCGGUAGUGGUCCGACCACGUCCCACUCGAGACCGGGAGGAUGGCUGGCCACACAUGGAACGAGAACCCCAUCGUGGCUCGCUGCCGCCGUUGAUGUUCUACGUCGUCUUCGCCGCCUACCGGUUCUUAGAUCCGGAGGCUGGUAACCGCCAACAACAACACCGUCUUCUCAGCCAUGUCACAAGCGCGGAGGCGGGACAAGUCGGAACGGAGGUAGUUGAAACCUUGAGGGCCAUUCGUAUAAGUAUUAGGACAGAAGUAGCACUAACACAUUUUUCGACCUAUACCUACUUCUGCUUCUGGUUCCCGUCUAAAGCAUAUAGACAAUCGAAAUGUAGACAAAAGACAUCAAAUAAAAACGGUGCACUUCGUCCUACUCAAAUCUAAACAAGUACUUUAACCAACAUUAUCUCUAUCCUGACAUUACGGGUCUACGUAAAAGUUCACCUAUGGAUAACGGAUUUGAUGUUCUUGUGAUUCUCUUCCAGUGACUUAGGUUAAAAUAAAAUUUAAUUCGCCCGUUCACCGCCCUUAGCUUGGGCAUCACGAUCGUCAAAAAAAACAAAACAAAACAAAACGUCGUGAACGAAAUUAACUUCCAAACGUAGUAUUUAUCCUGUUCUCUCUAGGUACUAGUGUAAACGCUACAGACUUCGGAUUUCGAUUGUGAUUUGCUUGGCCAAGUUCAAGGUCGUCCUUAUUCAUAUUAAAAACGUGCUAAUACAAAAUGAUCUGGAUUAUCACAUUAAACAAAGUCGACAAAUCAGAAGUCCGACAUGUAAUCCGGUUGUCCGGUUAUGACGAAAAAUAUCAAUCCCAACAAUAAUAUACCUUUUGUGUAUGACCAAGCCACGAUGUCAAACAGGUAAAGUCCAGUUGUUAAAGAUUCGAAGGUGUAAAAUGCACUGAGGUAAAAAUACGUCCACUACUCGACCUCGAGGGUUUAUCUGUGGCACGAAGUAUUAGUCGAGGUUUAAGAGUUAGGACAUCGCGAUUGUAAUAAACCAUUUUGUUACCUUUAUGCAAAGUGUUUUUAUCGCCAUGUACUAUUUUUGGUAUAGGUAUACUACUAUGUUUUUCGCCGUGGAUUUAGUUCACGUAUGGUAAGAAUUAGGACAGAGGUCCAUGAAAUUAAAGGUUCUUUCAGACCGGGAGUUGUUGGAAUAAUAGAAUCACUAAGGACUAGAAGGUAGUUUCUUAUAGUUAAGUAACGUUUAUGUUGUGGUAAUAAUAGUUAAAGAAAAGUAACGAUAGUUCAUGAUGGAGGCAUGGUUUUAUAUUCUACAAAAACAUCCGAUUUGAUCGGAUGUUUUUACAGAAUAUAAAACUAUACCUCCAUUAUUGAAAAACUGGUAUUAGGUUUAGCUUUGGUAGUUUUAGCAAACUAAAUAUCCCAAGAAGGAGGACCGUCGCCGCGUUAAACAACCGAGCGAGUAGUCGACACUAUGGGGUACAGGGGACAGGCGUGGACGACCUUCGUUUAUAUUCCUGACCUGAGUCUUACUUGGUACUUCGGUCGCCAGGUGCAGUUGAUCUACAGACUCGAAAGUAAAACAUGUUGACUAACGAGCAUGAACGUAGAAAAUAGACAGGAAGACACUUGGACUACAUACCACCGAACCACCAAUACAAAUCUUGUCUGACUUCACAUACAUACACUACUAAUCAAUUACUUUAUUUUUUACAAACCACGUGGACUUUAUACCACAGAACCACUAAUACGAAUCUUACGUACUUAAUGUACAUACGCUGGCGG
rnacentral:rRNA from 1 species